AACAACAAAACAUACAAAAUUAACUGACUGAAAAUACUAGACCCAACAUGGAGAUUACCUCAUAUUGCGGCAGAGCAUUACUGGGUGAUCACUGCGUACUUAUACUAAAUUCCUCUGUGACGUAGUAAUCAAACGUCAUAACGUUGACGUUGUUUCUAGACAAUUUCCAUUCUGUUGCUUUAGCACAAAAUAUUCAACCGAAAAUAGAAAUCGUCAUGCCUGAUAAGCGGAGAAAAUCUUUCCUUUCACGAUUUCUGCAUUUUUGUUGUUGCUGCAUAACGGCGAAAGGUGAUCGGAACGAAAUGGAAGACAAUGAUGACAUUAUUGUAACCAGGGUUUACAAAUCUUCGAGCGCUGAAAAUUUUGUAGGUAAGCAUGAUUUGACCCCUGGAUUCCCUUACAUGGCAAAGGCAAGCCGAAGUGAUGUAUUCAACAAUAUGGCUAGAACUGAGCAAAUGACAAAGAAAGUAGCAAGAAAUAAGAAAGGAACACAGAAAAUGAAGAGGAAUUCGAUUGUCUUGGACAGCGCUGCUGGAAACGAUGUCGGCGGCGACACAAGAGAUGUCCGGUUUGAUGACAGCGACGGUCUGGAAAUUCUGAACGCCUUUUGAGCCCUUGUGGCGGGCAUCUUAAAACACAGUCUGAACAGAUAGUGUUCUACAAUUUAUGGUUAUCGAGUUUGAAUACCCGUGUGAGACCGGCUUUCGAUUCGCGGGUAGUACUCACGAACACUUGAUUUCGCUGUUUGGAAAAUGCUCACCGAUCUACUGGUACUCCUAACUAUAUUUCUUUAGUAAUUCCGGAAAGUGAUAGGACUGAUAAUAACUGGCAUUACGCACAAAACACAUCAACACGUUCUAAACAAGAAACUACUGAUGUCAUAACACAGAGAGAACGUUAAAAAAAACAUAUUUACUUAACGGAAACGUGAUUAUUUCUAAUUUGCAAAUGACAUUUUGAAAUGCGAAUAUAUCCCGGACAUUUCCAAACUAUUUGUUUUCAGUUUUGCUGUUCAAUUUUUUUUUGUUCUAGUUAUUAUUAUCAUUUUAAUUUAACUUUUAACGACUCUUAAAUAUAUAUGUUUGUUUCACAUAGCUGAUUUUGUUAUUCUUUAUGAAAAACACCGUUGUUACCUUGAUUAAGUUUCAGGCGGGAACAAUCUUCUUAAAAUUUUCAGUGUUAGACGGUUGUUAAAAUGUUUAUUUGUUAUAGUUUUGCCGACUCAAAAUAAAUUUUGUCUUAUCUUAACAUUUGUAUGUGUAUUAAAUCCAUUUAUGUAAUACAAUUUACCUAUAAAUGAAUUGUUCACAACGCGUCAAUCCUCUUGCUUUCAUAUUGAACAUACUGAAUGAGUAUAAUGUACUCUUCUUGAUAAAACCUCAUUUCAAUUAAUGUUUAUUUUCUGCAUUUUACACAUUGAGUUUUUUGUCUACUUGAUUUUGGACCAGUGCGUAUUUCAACAAACUUUGGUCUCACAGAUUAUGAACUUUCCAGAAAGUUUUUUUUUUUCUUUUUUGUGAGGUCCCUUUUCUUAAAAUGAGAGUAAAAAUCAUUUUUAAGGUUCUUCAAGGCGAUCAUUGAAGAAUAAGAUAACGAAAAUGAUAGCUAUUGUCACCAAACUUUCCUUAUAGAAAACUUACAUGGAGUCCUAGCUUGAAGAUUUGAGCCAUCAGGAUUAAGGUCAAUGUCGCUAUUAUUUAGAUUGAAAAAAAAAACCCCACUCAAUAUCAGGAGUUAAAGGGCCAUGAUGUCUUUGUUGAUAAUGUGGGCCACAUGUUAUGAUAAUUGUUUUCUCCUAUAUAUGCGCCAAAGGUUUGUCUUUUGAUUAACAUAGUUGGAAGUAUUACUGAUACUUUUUUUCAUGCAGUAUUUACUCUAGUACCUAAACCAUGUAAUUGUGCAUAGUCUUUAUUUGGAUAACUGCUCUAUCUAUUGUUGAUAUAAAACUAAAAGCAGUAUGGAACUUUAACAAUAACAUACUGAAAUAGAUAACAUGGUAUAUGUAGGCUUAACGACAAGAGAAAAAUCGAAACUGUAUUUAUGACUGCAGUCAAGGCCAUAGAAAUACAGUAUCAUGAGUAUGCCUAUUCCAAAAACAGACAAAAUAUAAAAAACACACUUUUUUCUUUCUAUAGCGUACCAUCUUUUUAUGGGUAUUUAUAUUUAUAGUUCCAGCGCGACUUUCCUGAUAUCUUAGAUAUUACCAAAAUGACAUGCAAAACAUCAACCGCCGAACAGCAAUAACCUUUUGCCGCAUAUUCUUAAAGGCGUGCUAUGGGAGAUAAUCGCUGGGAGUUUGGUUACUGUAGUGGCAAGGGGAGAUUACUGCGUACGUGUUUAAAGUUUCUUUAUGACGUAAUAAACUAACGUCAUAACGUUGACGUUGUUUCUUAGCAUCUCAAUCUUGUUACCGUAGCACAAAUACUUCGACAGCACAAUGCCUGAUAAGCGGAGAAAAUCGUUCCUUUCACGAUUUCUACAUUUUUGUUGUUGCUGCAUAGCAGCCAAAUGUGAUGGUAACGAAAUGGAAGACAAUGAUGACAUUAUUGUAACCAGAGUUUACAAAUCUUCAAGCGCUGAAAAUUUUGUCGGUAAGCAUGAUUUGACCCCUGGAUUCCCUUACAUGGCAAAGGCAAGCCGAAGCGAUGUAUUCAACAAUGUGGCUAGAAGUGAGCAGAAAGUAAAGAACUUGGCAGCAAGGAAUAUGAAAGGAACACAGAAAAUGAAGAGGAAUUCGAUUGUUUUGGAUAGCGCUGCUGGAAACGAUGUCGGCGGCGACACAAGAGAUGUCCGGUUUGAUGACAGCGACGGUUUGGACAUUCUGAACGCCUUUUGAGCCCCGUAUGGCGGGCAUCUUUGGGAUACAAUUUGGGGAGACAGAAUGUUCUGCAGCUUCAGAAGUGACCCCAGGGCCAGGAAUGAAUAAUGUUUUGGUUGCUUUUGUUGUGCCAGGGACGAAUUUCUUGACCAAUUUGGCCGAGUUUGAAUACCUGUGUGAGACCGGCUUUCGAUUCGCGAGUAUUCACGGACACUUAGACUUCAUAAUAUGGAAAAAAAGCUAAGUUAUUCACGAACAGUCUACUGGUACUCGGAUCUAUGUAAGUCCAGUAUGUCCUGAAAAUGGCAUGACAACAGUUGAUAAUAACUAGCAUUACAGUCAAACCGCAGCAACAAAUUCGAAACAAGAAACUACUGACUAGUAUCAUAAUAAAGGGAUGUUCAAAAACUCCUUUCAACUUGUCGAAGACGUGUUUGCUCUAAUUUGCAAAUGAUACUUUGAAAUGUGAAUAUGUCCCGGACAUUUCCAAACUAUUUGCUUUCAGGUUUACUGACCAAUCUUUCUGUUUUAAUCAUUAUUGUUUUUUUUUAUCUAACUUUUAACGAAUCUGAAAUAUAU
rnacentral:lncRNA from 1 species